GCCGGGAUAGCUCAGGUAGUAGAGCGGCGGACUGAAAAUCCGCGCGUCCCCAGUGCAAGUCUGGGUCCCGGCGCCA
rnacentral:tRNA from 1 species